GACGAACGCUGGCGGCGUGCUUAACACAUGCAAGUCGAACGGAAAGGCCCUGCUUUUGUGGGGUGCUCGAGUGGCGAACGGGUGAGUAACACGUGAGUAACCUGCCCUUGACUUUGGGAUAACUUCAGGAAACUGGGGCUAAUACCGGAUAGGAGCUCCUGCUGCAUGGUGGGGGUUGGAAAGUUUCGGCGGUUGGGGAUGGACUCGCGGCUUAUCAGCUUGUUGGUGGGGUAGUGGCUUACCAAGGCUUUGACGGCUAGCCGGCCUGAGAGGGUGACCGGCCACAUUGGGACUGAGAUACGGCCCAGACUCCUACGGGAGGCAGCAGUGGGGAAUAUUGCACAAUGGGCGGAAGCCUAAUGCAGCAACGCCGCGUGCGGGAUGACGGCCUUCGGGUUGUAAACCGCUUUCGCCUGUGACGAAGCGUGAGUGACGGUAAUGGGUAAAGAAGCACCGGCUAACUACGUG
rnacentral:rRNA from 1 species